rnacentral:lncRNA from 1 species
CCGGACAUUAAGGAUAAGAUGCCGGCGAGGUCGUUUUUGCCACGGACUAUCCUUUCCAAAAUACCCUUUUCGUCUUCCGAGAUUGACCAACUGAAAUGGAUAUUCCACGCAGGGGACAACUCCACACUGGGGACCAUAAUGCUGGAUGCUUUAAAAGAGUGCGAGCGACCGCCGAGCCCGGGCGAGACGAAGCGCUGCGUGGGCUCGGCCGAGGACAUGGUCGACUUCGCCACCUCUGUUCUGGGGCGGAACGUGGAGGUUCGUACCAC